UCACUGUAACGCCCUGAGUGUUGCGGAUGUUUCGCAGAAGUUGACCGAACUUGAUUAUUUAGAGGAAGUAAAAGUCGUAACAAGGUUUCCGUAGGUGAACCUGCGGAAGGAUCAUUAAAGUUCUCCUUACAGUUAUAAACAAAAACACAAUAUAUAAAAUACUUAUAUUGUAAAAUUAUGGCAAAAGCCAAAAAGAAACAAAAUAACAAUAAUAAAAUGUUUAUUAUUGUAUAUCGCCUCCUAGGCAAAAAGUAUAUAUACAAUACUUCUUAUAUUGUAAAAUUAUGGCAAAAAGAAACAAAAUAACAAUAAUAAAAUGUUUAUUAUUGUAUCGCCUCCUAGGCAAAAAAGUAUAUAUAAAAUACUUAUAUUGUAAAAUUAUGGCAAAUGGCAAAAAGAAACAAAAUAAAUUUGAAAUACAUAAAAUUAUAGUUGUACUUGUAUAAAAUUGAAAAGUAAUUUUAUAUAAGUCAAUCAUUGUUCUUUUUUUAAGAACUUGAGACAUUCGCAACAAAAAUUUUAUGUUUUAAUUAUAAAAGAGAAUAAUAAUAAGCAAAAAUUAUUGAAGGAAUUGAUAUAUGCCAAUUUGAAAAUUUUUGGUGUAUUUUUGAUUUCUUUCAAUAAAUAUAUAUAUGAAAUGCUAUUGAAAAUAAAAAUUAUAUCACUCUAAGCGGUGGAUCACUUGGCUCAUGGGUCGAUGAAGAACGCAGCAAAC
rnacentral:rRNA from 1 species